rnacentral:rRNA from 1 species
GACGAACGCUGGCGGCGUGCUUAACACAUGCAAGUCGAACGGAAAGGCCCUGCUUUUGUGGGGUGCUCGAGUGGCGAACGGGUGAGUAACACGUGAGUAACCUGCCCUUGACUUUGGGAUAACUUCAGGAAACUGGGGCUAAUACCGGAUAGGAGCUCCUGCUGCAUGGUGGGGGUUGGAAAGUUUCGGCGGUUGGGGAUGGACUCGCGGCUUAUCAGCUUGUUGGUGGGGUAGUGGCUUACCAAGGCUUUGACGGGUAGCCGGCCUGAGAGGGUGACCGGCCACAUUGGGACUGAGAUACGGCCCAGACUCCUACGGGAGGCAGCAGUGGGGAAUAUUGCACAAUGGGCGGAAGCCUGAUGCAGCAACGCCGCGUGCGGGAUGAAGGCCCUCGGGUUGUAAACCGCUUUCGCCUGUGACGAGGCGUGAGUGACGGUAAUGGGUAAAGAAGCACCGGCUAACUACGUG